UGGCUGUAAGUAUGUCGAUCUAACGGCUGAGAAGUUAACUGGCCGGUUGUUGUUUGAGGUUUGUUAAGAAUCUCCAUCAACAUAUCUGCUUACUGAACUUCUUACAUGU